rnacentral:pre_miRNA from 1 species
ACGCCGCGGGGCGAUCGGUCUACCGAGCAAAUAUCACCCGCUCGGUGGAAAAUCUUCCUUUCGUCGU